GUCCACACCGUAAACGCUGUCUAUUAGCUGUUUGUGUAUCUGAUACGUGAGUAGCGAAGCUAACGCGCUAAAUAGACCGCCUGGGGAGUACGGCCGCAAGGUUAAAACUCAAAUGAAUUGACGGGGGCCCGCACAAGCGGUGGAGCAUGUGGUUUAAUUCGAUGCAACGCGAAGAACCUUACCUACACUUGACAUCCAGAGAACUUAGCAGAGAUGCUUUGGUGCCUUCGGGAACUCUGAGACAGGUGCUGCAUGGCU
rnacentral:rRNA from 1 species